AGUGUAGGAAGCAAGAGGAUUAUAAAAGAAGCAUAGGAACAACCCCAGAUUGGAGGAGAAACUAGUUGGGACCAUUAAUCUGAAGAAUAAGAAGGAACUACCUUGAGUUGGGCAAUCAUUAAGUUUCUGAGUGAAUGUGCAGGUGAAGCAUGUAUUUUGAGGUGGUUUAAGGGUGACCCAUUUGUGGUGAAUGUGUAUUUUGUAUCUACCUUGUUGCACUUGGGAAAAGACGUAUAUUUCCUAUGAUAUAUUUGGUAUUUUGAUGUGUAUGACAACUUUUAGUAGUAAUUAUGUAGAUGAAGAUCUUGUGAUGUAAUAAUUAGUGUUUUUUUUUUCUUCAAGCAUAUCUACUUUUGUCUAAAACCCACCAAGUAAUAGCUCGAUGGUCCUGGUUAGUCUUCCGUUGUCAUAUAAUCAGUUAAUUAUGUAAGUACGUUUAUACGGGCUAUUGCAUAUAAUUACAAAUUCACCUUCUUCUA